AUAAAAUUUUGAAAAAUUAUAGUUAAAAAACCCAUAUUACUUAUAUCUCCUUCGCAAAUUACAUUGUGAUCUCUCUCUCUCUCUCUCUCUAACUGGUUGCGGACGCAGAAAAAUUCAAACAUAGCCUCCUUCUUCUCCUUCAAUCUCAUUUACAAACCAAAAAUUCUUGGUGUUUUUGUUGUUUCUACAGUUUUAGAUCUGAUCGUGAAUCUUUAAUUUCGCUUUGUUUUUUACCGCUGCACAGAUCUCGUUCUCUUUAUUCGUUUCCAUCUGGUUUUGAAUUCAGAUCGGGUUUGGUUGGAUUGCGGAACGAGUCACGUUCUAGACGAAUUAUUUUCAUGUUCUGCUUUGGAUUCGAAUUCUCUCCUCCUCCGGUGGUAAAUAGAUCUUGAAAUUGGCUCCGCAAAAGCGCUCGCAGCGCCACAUGGGUGGCCAGAUGCAGCAGAGCAAUGCUGCUGCGGCGACCGCUCUAUAUGAUCAUGCCGGCGGUGGGCCUCUGCAUAAUGCGGGCCCCGCAAGCGAUGCUGGCGAUGCGGUCAUGGCACGGUGGCUCCAGUCUGCAGGCUUGCAGCAUUUGGCCUCUCCUUUGGCUUCUACUGGCAUCGAUCACCGUCUCCUUCCUAAUCUCCUAAUGCAGGGUUAUGGAGCACAAUCUGCUGAAGAAAAGCAAAGGCUUUUCAAGCUAAUGAGAAACCUCAAUUUCAAUGGAGAAUCAGGUUCUGAUCCUUACACACCAACUGCUCAAACUUCAGCUGGUAUGGCUGUAUCAGAUAGUUUUUAUUCUCAAGAGUUUAGAGGUGAUUUUGGAGCUGGCCUUUUAGAUCUUCAUGCCAUGGAUGAUACAGAGCUUCUAUCUGAGCAUGUCAUCUCAGAACCUUUUGAGCCAUCACCAUUCAUACCUGGUGGUUCAAAAGGAUUUGAUGAAUUAAAUGCAACUACUGGUAACCAGCUAAGGGAGCAAAAUAAUCCUGAUCCUUCCAUUCAAUAUACUACUAAUGAAAAGGAGAACACUAGGGAAAAUAACGUGGCUAAAAUUAAAGUUGUGGUACGCAAGAGACCACUUAACAAGAAGGAGGUUGCUCGAAAGGAAGAUGAUAUUGUAACUGUAUCUGAUAAUUCUUUAACAGUUCAUGAACCCAAGCUAAAGGUGGACUUGACUGCAUAUGUCGAGAAGCAUGAAUUUUGUUUUGAUGCUGUUCUAGAUCAGCAUGUCACAAAUGAUGAGGUUUAUCGUGUUACAGUGGAGCCAAUUAUUCCCACCAUUUUCCAGCGAACAAAAGCUACAUGUUUUGCAUAUGGUCAGACAGGUAGUGGUAAGACGUUCACCAUGCAACCAUUGCCUCUAAGAGCUGUGGAAGACCUUGUUAGAUUGUUGCACCAACCUGUUUAUCGAAAUCAGAAAUUUAAACUGUGGCUAAGCUUUUUUGAAAUAUAUGGUGGAAAACUCUUUGAUCUUCUCGGUGAUAGAAAGAAACUUUGCAUGAGAGAAGAUGGGCGACAACAAGUUUGUAUCGUUGGACUGCAAGAAUUUGAAGUUUCUGAUAUACAGAUUGUUAAGGAAUAUAUUGAGAAGGGAAAUGCAGCGAGAAGUACAGGAUCUACUGGUGCUAACGAGGAAUCUUCAAGGUCACAUGCUAUCCUACAGCUUGCUGUUAAGAAGCACAGUGAGGUAAAAGAUUCCAGGAGGAAUAAUGAUGGAAAUGAGCCCAAAAGUGGGAAAUUGGUUGGAAAAAUUUCAUUUAUUGAUCUUGCUGGUAGCGAACGAGGUGCUGACACCACUGAUAAUGACCGGCAAACUAGGAUUGAAGGUGCUGAAAUUAAUAAGAGCCUUUUGGCCCUGAAGGAAUGCAUUCGUGCUCUGGACAAUGACCAGAUUCAUAUACCAUUUCGUGGAAGCAAACUUACAGAAGUACUCCGAGAUUCCUUUGUUGGAAAUUCUAGGACUGUUAUGAUCUCUUGUAUUUCUCCAAAUGCAGGCUCAUGUGAACAUACACUCAAUACUUUGAGAUAUGCAGAUCGGGUUAAAAGUCUUUCAAAAAGUGGAAAUCCAAGAAAAGACCAGCCAGUAAAUUCGUUGCCUCCAACCAGCAAGGAUGUGCCUUCUGCAACACCUUUACUGGUUUCUUCUGAUGUAGAUGAUGUUUUUGAACAACAAGCAGUGACAGCAGCGGAUGCAGGUAGAAGGAUGGUAGAAAAAGGAACUUUUUCUUACAAUCCUACGGCUGAUUUUGACAAACAGUCCUCAAGCUUCACUUCUAGUUAUCCCUUGAGUGGACGAGACGAAACUGGGCCUUCUGGCACAGUGGAUAAGGAGAGGAUUGAAAUUAAUAAUUCUUAUGGUGGUGCUACAAAUAAAAAAAUCCCCUCAUCAUACUCCCAAAACUCUGUAGAUACAGAGGAGAAGAUGCAAAAGGUGUCACCACCUCGCAGAAAAGGACCUAAGGAGGAAAAAUCUGAAAAGCUGGGUAACUGGUUGAAGAAAGAUAAUGGUGUCGGUUCUGAUCUUCCUUCCACAAAUUCUAGGCAGCCGAGCACAGGAAACUAUAGUACUGGAUCACUGCAGCAUGAACCUGAUCCUCCUUCAGAUGGGAAUAUCAAUGCCAUACUUGAGGAAGAAGAGGCCCUAAUUGCCGCUCAUAGAAAAGAAAUAGAGGACACAAUGGAGAUUGUUCGUGAGGAAAUGAAACUGCUGGCAGAAGUUGAUCAACCAGGCAGUCUCAUUGAUAGCUACGUGACCCAGUUAAGCUUUGUGCUCUCACGCAAGGCAGCAGGUCUAGUUAGUCUUCAAGCUCGCCUGGCUAGAUUCCAACAUCGGUUGAAAGAACAAGAGAUACUGAGUCGGAAAAGAGUCCCUCGUUAAAGGAGCACUUAUUUCGUCUAUUCCACUGAUGGGAUCUGAUCCUAUCAUGUAAUCAUACUUCUGUCAUAUUUCAAUACUUCUGUUGAUUUAAUUCCUGAGGCAGAGAACCAUCUUUAGGAUUAAUCAAGGAUCUGAUGCCACUGCAUGGCAACCGUUGAUAUUCAGUUUUCACAUCCAGGCUUUCUUGCUUUUGGAGUGGUGGUGGGCAAUGUGCAUUCACAUUCAUUGCUGGUGAUAGAUAGGUUUGUUAAAUGUGUAAUUUUGAAUGCAUCUGAUUUGUUGGGUUAAGGUUUGUGGGCUCUGUGAAAGGUUGUUAAAAGAUGAUUGGAUAACAUUUCUCUUGUAGGAAAGAAAGGGAAAAACAAAAAUGUGAAAUAUAUAUUUACGCAUAUGUUCUGAAAUUAUUUUCUUGCAA